GACGGGGCCGCACAAGCAGCGGAGCGUGUGGUUAAUUCGAUGCUACACGAAGAACCUUACCCGGGUUUGACAUGCAAGUGGUAGUGAUCCGAAAGGUGAACGACCCGCAAGGGAGCUUGCACAGGUGUUGCAUGGCUGUCGUCAGCUCGUGUCGUGGGAUGUUCGGUUAAGUCCGCUAACGAGCGCAACCCUCGCUGUAUGUUACAUGUGUCAUACAGGACCGCCGGUAUCAAGCCGGAGGAAGGUGGGGAUGACGUCAAGUCCGCAUGGCCUUUAUGUCCGGGGCUACACACACGCUACAAUGGUCGGUACAAUGGGUUGCUAAGCCGCGAGGUGGAGCCAAUCCCCCAAAGCCGGCCUCAGUUCAGAUUGCAGGCUGCAACUCGCCUGCAUGAAGCUGGAGUUGCUAGUAAACGCGCGUCAGCUAUAGUGCGUUGAAUACGUUCUCGGGCCUU
rnacentral:rRNA from 1 species